GGGAUGAUAAAUGACACCUAUUGCAAGACAGAAGGGUAUAGAAAAGUCCCCUACCAUUACUAUGAACAAGGAAGAGAUGAAUGUGAUGAAUAUUUCCUUCAUGAACAUGCCCCCUAUGGGGGGCAUAGGUUUAUCACUGAAAAGAAAGUGUUUGCUAAGUGGGCCAAGAAACACAGGAUAAUAUUUACACACCCAAACUGGACAGUGUCUUGAUGUUGGCUGUUCUGACCUUGCCACACCACUUGACAUGAUCAUGAUACUGCAACUGUGAUGCUGAUGAUGCUGAUGAUGGUGAUGAUAGAGACAGCAACAGCGAUGAUCGAGUUUCUGUACAUUCUCAGAUACGGAUGGUACUUUUAACCUGGGAUGCCAUUGGAAGGUGGUCGUGUUCAUUAUGUUCUUUCCGAAGGUUCAACAUUACAUACUGCACUUUAUAAUUUAACUGGAAUUGAAACGAAGGCCAGUAACAUGACAGCAAUGACCAGUGAAACAGAAAGAUUAUCCUUCAAGAAAGCUGCCCAGGAUUCUUGAACAGUGAGUAACUUCCAAAAGCCCUGGGGUUCGGCCUCAUGAGCCAAGGGAAUUGACUCUGCAGUCUCUCGAACCUGACCAGCUCCACCAUCUUGAAGAAUGGUUGAUUGUCAAACACUGACCCAAGAAAUGCACCCUGGGCACAGGGGUCUUGCCACAGGUACUGGUCAACCUGGGGGCAAGGGAGGGAUCUCUUCCUGACUCACCACCUUCCUGCAGUACCUCCUACAGCUAAAGCCUCAGGCCAUUUCCUAAUUAACGAGGAAGAGAUCAUGGACCUCUGACCCAUCAGGAUUACUGGACUCUCUCAAAUACGUCAUUCAAAAUGGGCCAACUGGCACAUCUUGAUGAAUUUCUACUCUCACCACACCAUUCUUACCGUCCUCCAAAAUAUAACUAAACAUGUUAAUAGAAUCAUCUGUAUUAAGGUUUAGUUAUUUUUGGUUGAGUCCUAAAUAUUUGAGAGCUAUUUAACAUGUAAGAUAUCAACACUGUAAUAACAUAUACUGUGAAAACAUUGUUAAAACAUAACCAAAAGGGUUUACUAACUCUGCUUCAACAUCCAACAACACAAAAUUGUAUGCUUUUUGAAAUCGUGAAACAGGGAGAGCAAAGCAUAUUUUUACAUCAAUUUAUAUCCCACCAUACUUUCCAAUAUAUAUUUGUAUAUUCAGAUUUCUAUUUUAUAGGCCCAAGAUGUGUCUCUCCAUACAUAACAUUAUCAUUGUCAAGUGCCAACUGUUAGACAUGGAGAGGAAAUGAUUCCUUGUGUUUAAUCUGACCAGAGCUUUUAUCUUCUUGGGGCUUAUUUUCCGUAGAGUGUAUCAGUUGUUAUAUGAUAACAAGAAUGACCUUGAUGUCCAGAGUGCUUUGCCAUGUGGAGUCCUUUCACAUAUGCUGUCCUAUGUGACUCUCAUGACCACCCCCCCCCGGCUGUUGCUUACGCAUUCUGACAUAUUAGCAGAUGACCUGUAAUUUGUAAACUACUCUGAUAUAUUCCAGAUCUCUCCCCUUGCUAAUAUUUGUAUAGAAUAGCAUUUGUGUAGACUAGUAACCCGUUGAUGUCAGUGCCAAAUACAAUAUAUUAUAUUAGGAUUAUGCAAAAAAUAAAAUAUCCCAAGGAUGGUCUUGGCCAUAGACUAGGACCCCUGCGAACAAAGGCAUUUUUGGGAUUUGUUUGUUUGUUUUCAUGGCUCUAUUUAAGUGGGGGAAGAAUGAGGAAGCAGGAACAACAGGAUGGAAUAAAAGCUGAGAAAUCCAGUUUCUUGUCCCCAUCUUAAGACGACUUCGUUCUCCGUGGACUCAUUGCACAUUAAAAGGUAGACGGUUGAUUUGCUGAGAGAAGCUGAGAGACCAAAAACAUCCUUGCCAAUGAUUCAGAAGACAAAAGUUGGGCUUAAUUUACAGCACGUUUUGGAGGCUGGACGUGACCAUGCAUUUCAUCUCAGGAGGUCUUUGCAGGACUUCGCACUGUGAAGUUCCAAGAUGAGCACCUUUGAAAUGGGCCAUCUUGGGCAAAGUCCUCUUUCCUGCUCUCUUCUGCCAUUUCAAUACCCCCCCAUACUCACAUCCAUAAAAAUGACCAAGUGCCACUUCCCUUGCCAGGACUGUUAUCAUUGCUAUUCUUUUGUUGUUUCCUUGUGUGAUUUCCAGUUCUAUAUAUGUUAGUUGUUUUGAGCUAAUGAUGGAUAGAAAUGCCCACUCAAAGAAAAAUAAACAGAUGAAAAUG
rnacentral:lncRNA from 1 species